AGAGAGAGAGAGAGAGAGCGAAAUUUUGUAUUUUUCAAUUGUGGCCCAAUUCUCUAAUGUGGCUGCCACAUCAGCAUUGCUUGGCAAGAAUCUAGCAAUAGCAAUCAUUAUUAUAAUGUUUUGAUUGGUUUAAUGGUUUUUAAGUUUAGGGAGCUUGAGUGAGAUUAGUCCCCAUUUUGCCCAACCAAAACUUCUGUGCAGCAAGCCCUAUUAUCCAAUUCAAAUGCACAAGCUCUACAUUGACUAUCCCACAAGCUCUAAAUAUUCAAUUUAAGUUGAUGAAUUCACUAAGUUUGCUUUUCAAUUUUCUUUUUUCAAGGUUAACAACCAGUUAGCAACAAAACCACAGAGUUCUAGUUAUAAUGUUGAUUUUUCCCCUCAUUCUCACAAACUUUAUCUUCAGCUCCAAGGCUAUGAAGCACCAAGAAGUAUGCAAUGCAAGCCAUAUGCUAAACAUGUGCAUGCUUGGCACACCUACAGCACAAAUCAAACAUGCCAACCAUGUCCAGCAAAAGGAGGGGGGGGGGGGG
rnacentral:misc_RNA from 1 species